rnacentral:rRNA from 1 species
CCUACGGGUGGCAGCAGUGAGGAAUAUUGGUCAAUGGCCGUAAGGCUGAACCAGCCAAGUCGCGUGAAGGAAGAAGGAUCUAUGGUUUGUAAACUUCUUUUAUAGGGGAAUAAAGGUAUCCACGUGUGGAUAUUUGCAUUUACCCUAUGCAUAAGAAUCGGCUAACUCCGUGCCAGCAGCCGCGGUACUACGGAGGAUGCGAGCGUUACCCGGAUUUAUUGGGGUUAAAGGGAGCGCAGGUGGUUUGUUAAGUCAGCGGUGAAAGCUCCUGGCUCAACCAGAAAAUUGCCUUUGAAACUGGAAGACUUGAGUGUGUUAGAGGUAGGCGGAAUGCGUGGUGUAGCGGUGAAAUGCAUAGAUAUCACGCAGAACUCCGAUGGCGAAGGCAGCUUACUAAGCCAUAACUGACACUGAGGUGCGAAAGCGUGGGGAUCAAACAGGAUUAGAUACCCUUGUAGUC